AAGCAACACUCUGUGGCAAAUGUUAAAGUCUUUUGCCCCAAUUUUCGCUUGCUAGAUAAAACAAGCUUAACCUAUUCCAGUAAUUUCUUUGUGAGAUAUACUGUUAUAUAAGCUUGAACAUG
ensembl:snoRNA small nucleolar RNA, H/ACA box 28